ensembl:lncRNA
CAUUGCCUGAGGGGAGCGCGGCGCGCGGGGGGUUGACGAGGUGUUCGCACGCCUGUACUCCACUCCUACUUUGUUCAGCCUGAGGCAAACGGUGCCGGGACGAAAGGGGGCGGCUGGAACGGUCCUCAAGAGCAGCAGCCCAACCCCGAGCCCAGCUGUUGUGGUACUGCUGAUACAACCCAGAGCGCUGAGUUCCCUCUGCUUCUAACCCAGCCUCACAAUGUGGAGAGUAUCCUUACUGAGAUGGAAAUUUGAAUGAGGAAGAAUGGUCCAUUCCCAGUGGAGAUAUAUUUAAGAUCCUGUCAUGCAUCAGUGGUGGCCUUUCUAGGCUGGGUUACCGCAGCACUUUUAACCUGUUCAGAUCUUUGAGAAAUGCAAGCAGAUUUGAAGGGGAAAAAGUUAUGCAUUAACAAAAGGGAAAAACAAAAGAAAAAUAAAACCUGACUUGGUUAAGAUGAAAGCAAAACAGAAAACUAAUAAAGAAGAUCAGAGAACCUAGAAAUAACUGUUGACAGGCUUGUGCACUGGCUGUUUAAAAUCACAUGCUAUUAAGCAUUAGCUUUCUGAUGAAGUGUUUGCACACAGGAUUGCCUGUCCCUAGUAAACGCUAAAGAUUACCCUCAACUCAUUUGUGUUUGUAUGUUUUCUGUGAGUAUGUCUGGUUACAUCCUACCAUUUAUCAGCCACCAUGUAUGGAGGUCACAAGUCCCCUGCCUCAUUAAAGGGCAGUGAGCCAAUUGAAGAAAAAACUCUGUUCUCCCUUGGGGCAUCUGAACAUAUGGUGCAGGAGUAGUACGGUUAAUUUUUAAAACAGUCAGAUCUGGGAAGAGGCUAAGCAGUAAGUAUACAAAAAGUGGGUAAUACAGCAGGAUAUACAGAGAGCUAAUUUCUGUCAGAUUGUUUUCCUGUUUUGUUAGCAGAAUUGGUAGACUGGAUUUUCAAGCUUCUCAGGGUUUCUUAAGAACUGAGAAGUAAGGACAGACUACUGUAUCAUGACAUGGUCUCAUACUAAUGUCAGUAAAAUAGUAGAAUGGAUAGCAGCAUUUUUUGAUCGGCUUAGUGCUACAAAUUCAAACUUUCCACGAGGAAGAGGCCAGAAGAGAAUAUUUAAACAGUACUUCCGAAAACUAACUUCUUCUAUGUCAGAGAAGCUGAUUACUUUUUUGUUAUAUUCUUAAUUAACAAGCGGUUUCAGAAAGGUCCUCCUACCAUACUUGCACAACAAAACCCACCACCACCAACAAAAA